rnacentral:rRNA from 1 species
UACGGAGGGGGCGAGCGUUGUUCGGAAUUAUUGGGCGUAAAGGGCGCGUAGGCGGCCCGGUAAGUCAGAGGUGAAAUCCCUCGGCUCAACUCAGGAACUGCCUUUGAAACUGCCGGGCUUGAGGCCGGGAGGGGGUAGCGGAAUUCCCAGUGUAGCGGUGAAAUGCGUAGAUAUUGGGAGGAACACCAGUGGCGAAGGCGGGUACCUGGACCGGUUCUGACGCUGAUGCGCGAAAGCGUGGGUAGCAAACAGG